rnacentral:lncRNA from 1 species
GCAGGGGCGGCCUGGCCCGGCCACAGCCGCAUCACCGGGCUCUGGGGGUUUGGCCUCCCUUUGCCAGCAGAGGCUGUGACCUUCUCUGGGUGGGGUCUCCGUUCCCAACUGCUGAUGGGGACCUAGUAGCAGGUGACGGCAGAGGGCGGGAGCUGGGCGGGGUGGGGGCUGGGAAGCACGGAGAUGGGGCGGGCAUGCCCCUGGAGAGAACCCGGAGAGAGCCCUCUCAGGGCUGCAGGGGCUUGGAGGUCCCCACCCCCUCAGCCUCCAGCGUUGGCCCCUCUGGCUGGACCUUGAGGAAGGGCAGGGGUCCCAGGAUGAGGCUGCUCUGGCCGGCUGGGGCCGUCUUCUGGGUGCCUGAGAGUGGAUCUAAGCACAUCCUCGUUGCCCAGGGGCCCCAGCUGGGCUGGGAAUCGGGCUACAGGGCCAGCUCUGACCAGGGGAAGCCCAGUGCCCCCGGGGGGGCGGUGGCUGGAGAGGCUAGGCUGGCAGGGCACUAAGUGCCAAGAUGCCAGGCACUCGGCAAUCAGGAAUUUCUGUCUGGCCCUAGUUUGCGUUGCACUGACCUUGGCUCUCGAGUCUGGCUCCUAGGAUCAGGGAGGGCAGGGCUGGGGGCCGGAGACCUGAGCCUGUAGGGUCCACAGGGUUCCCCAUCCUGAUGGUCGUCAUCAAGUCGGGCUCCCUGCAGCCCCGAGCCCUGCCUGGGCCCCUGUCCCCAGGGCUGCCAAGCUCCACAGGUCUCACCGUGGGACUCUCAGGAGGUGGGCAAGGCGGGCACUCUUGCUGGGAGAAGGAAGUAGACCGAGGGAGGGGUGGUCCUGGGCAGAGGACCCAGGCCCAGAGAGGGCAGGGCACCUCCAGAGCCUGCACGUCGAUCUGGCCAGCAGGCUGGUGGGGGCACAGUGGGGAGGGGAACGUUCAGGGAGGGCUGCAGCUUCCGAGAAGCCUGGAAAGUUCAACGGAAGAGUCAAGGUAAGGCCAGGUGGGGGGCUGUGGGGAUGGACAGGGGUGGGCUGACUGGGGUGCUGACUGGGAAGGCAGGGGCCUGUGGGUGUGGCCGGAGCAGCUGGGGGCCUUGGUUGGCGGCCCUCCCGAGGGAGGCUGAAGGGCCAGGUGGGCGAGGAGGAGAAAUUGGGUUUGGCCAGGCUGGGCUUGACCCACCCGGAAGGCAGCCGGGGGAGGGUCCAGGAGGGGGGCGUCUGAGGCUCAGGGAUGGGGGGGGGG